rnacentral:tRNA from 1 species
GCCUGACUGGCUCAAUGGGAAGAGCAUAUGACUCUUAAUCCCAUGAGUUCAAGCCCCAUGUUGGGUA